rnacentral:rRNA from 1 species
UACGGAGGGUGCGAGCGUUGUCCGGAAUCACUGGGCGUAAAGGGCGCGUAGGUGGCGCGGGCAGUCAACGGUGAAAGUUCGGGGCUCAACCCUGAAUCGGCCGUCGAUACUCCCGGGCUUGAGCACUGUAGAGGCAGAUGGAAUUCCGGGUGUAGCGGUGGAAUGCGUAGAGAUCCGGAAGAACACCGGUGGCGAAGGCGAUCACCUGGGGUUGUUCUGACGCUGAGGAGCGAAAGCUAGGGGAGCAAACGGG